rnacentral:rRNA from 1 species
GUCUCGGCUAACUACGUGCCAGCAGCCGCGGUAAAACGUAGGAGGCGAGCGUUAUCCGGAUUCACUGGGCGUAAAGCGUGUGCAGGCGGUUCGGUAAGUUGGGCGUGAAAUCUCCCGGCUUAACUGGGAGAGGUCGUUCAAUACUACCGGACUUGAGAGCAGUAGAGGAAGGUGGAAUUCCCGGUGUAGUGGUGAAAUGCGUAGAUAUCGGGAGGAACACCAGUGGCGAAGGCGAUCUUCUGGACUGUUUCUGACGCUCAUACACGAAAGCUAGGGUAGUAAACGGGAUUAGAGACCCCGGUAAUCCUAGCUGUAAACGAUGUCAACUUGGCGUCGGUGGCUUAAACACUAUCGGUGCCGAAGCAAACGCGAUAAGUUGACCGCCUGGGGACUACGAUCGCA